AUUUAGUUCCAAAAUGUUUGGAAUACAUAAAUACUAUGACUUUCAGAGCUUGAUUACACUUCAAUAUAAAGAUUCCGAGAAACCAACGAAAUGCCAUGAAAUGACCUUAAAACUAUGCGGGUUAUUGCAGAAAUGGUAUUUGGAAGCCCAACCCAGUUGCAAUAUAUUAUCAACGGCCCGUUUGGACCGUAUCUGUACAUCAACGACGGCUUAGAAAACCGAAAGCUAUUGGCUCCAGAAUUAGCAUCAGGAUCGAGGACGAAAAUAGUCCAGAAACAUUUUGAUGGAUGUCGACCAACUACAGAGCUUCAAAACAAGCACUUGAAACCCAUGGGAGAGCGUGACGGAGAUCUCGAUAUGGUUGGCGUAUGUAUGUGACACUGAAAGAAGAGCCUGAUCCAAAAUGUAGAAAAGCCGAAACACACAGCGGCACUUGUCAAGACUUGGCUCGUCUGGAAAUGCCCUCACGUAUUUAGAAAUUACGCCAGCAGUCCGCAGACAUGUAAUCAAAAAUUUGACAGCCUUAAAGACGGAUUUGCUUUUAUCUUUCUUAGUCUAGCAGCAAUUUCCCAACUGCGCGAAACAAGCUGUGACCUACGGUAGUUUGAGUGAAUAAAUGUUUAUAAAUAAAGAGUAUAAGCUUUAAUUGUACCUUUAGUAUCAACAAUUUGAGGACGUUUUACUUAAAAUGGUGGUCAAAUGACUUUGAACAUAAAAACCUUUCAAUACUAAGGAGACGUAAUCGGCUCGAUUUCCGAGUUCUCGCUAAUCAAAACUUUAGUUGAAUACCGACCUUAUUGCAAAAUGAAAAUUACAAAGUCUGUUUAUGUUGGGCACAUUUUUUUUGUUUACUGAAAUUAUAUCAAAUAUUAUUUCAUUCCGUACAAUUUCCAAACAAUAAAAU